rnacentral:rRNA from 1 species
UUGACCUCAAAUCAGGUAGGACUACCCGCUGAACUUAAGCAUAUCAAUAAGCGGAGGAAAAGAAACCAACAGGGAUUGCCUCAGUAGCGGCGAGUGAAGCGGCAAAAGCUCAAAUUUGAAAUCUGGCGUCUUUGGCGUCCGAGUUGUAAUUUGAAGAAGGUAUCUUUGGGCCCGGCUCUUGUCUAUGUUCCUUGGAACAGGACGUCACAGAGGGUGAGAAUCCCGUGCGAUGAGAUG